rnacentral:rRNA from 1 species
AUUGAACGCUGGCGGCAUGCUUUACACAUGCAAGUCGAACGGUAACAGGGUGCUUGCACCGCUGACGAGUGGCGAACGGGUGAGUAAUGCGUCGGAACGUGCCGAGUAGUGGGGGAUAACGCAGCGAAAGUUGUGCUAAUACCGCAUACGUACUGAGGUAGAAAGUGGGGGACCUUCGGGCCUCACGCUAUUCGAGCGGCCGACGUCUGUAUUAGGUAGUAGGUGAGGUAAAGGCUCACCUAGGCGACGAUCAGUAGCGGGUCUGAGAGGAUGAUCCGCCACACUGGGACUGAGACACGGCCCAGACUCCGACGGGAGGCAGCAGUGGGGAAUUUUGGACAAUGGGCGAAAGCCUGAUCCAGCCAUGCCGCGUGUCUGAAGAAGGCCUUCGGGUUGUAAAGGACUUUUGUCAGGGAGGAAAUCCCUAGUGCUAAUAACACUGGGGGAUGACAGUACCUGAAGAAUAAGCACCGGCUAACUACGUGCCAGCCGCCGCAGUAA